UACGUAGGGACCGAGCGUUGUCCGGAAUCAUUGGGCGUAAAGGGUGCGUAGGCGGUCGGGUAAGUCUGAUGUGAAAUCUCACAGCUUAACUGUGAAACUGCAUUGGAUACUAUCCGGCUUGAGGAAUGGAGGGGAGACUGGAAUUCCCGGUGUAGCAGUGAAAUGCGUAGAGAUCGGGAGGAACACCAGUGGCGAAGGCGGCUACCUGGACCAGCAUUGACACUCAAGCACGAAAGCGUGGGGAGCAAACAGG
rnacentral:rRNA from 1 species